rnacentral:rRNA from 1 species
GACGAACGCUGGCGGCGUGCUUAAUACAUGCAAGUCGAACGCAGUUGCGAACGGGUGAGUAACGCGUGGGUAACUGCCUCAUAGAGGGGGAUAACCAUUGGAAACGAUAGCUAAUACCGCAUACUGUAAGAUGGACCUGCGUGGUAUUAGUUAGUUGGUGGGGUAAAGGCGCACCAAGGCGACGCUACAUAGCCGGGCUGAGAGGGUGGUGGGCCACACUGGGACUGAGACACGGCCCAGACUCCUACGGGAGGCAGCAGUAGGGAAUCUUCGGCAAUGGACGGAAGUCUGACCGAGCAACGCCGCGUGAGUGAUGAAGGUUUUCGGGUCGUAAAGCUCUGUUAUUAGUGAAGCGGUAACUGACCAGAAAGCGACGGCUAACUACGUGCCAGCAGCCGCGGUAAUAC